ACGCUCGACACCUACGGGAGCAGCAGUCGGGAAUAUUGCGCAAUGGAGGAAACUCUGACGCAGUGACGCCGCGUGCAGGAAGAAGGUUUUCGGAUUGUAAACUGCUUUAGACAGGGAAGAAGAAGUGACAGUACCUGUAGAAUAAGCUCCGGCUAACUACGUGCCAACAGCCGCGGUAAUCUGAGCGGGCUGGCAAGGC
rnacentral:rRNA from 1 species